rnacentral:rRNA from 1 species
GGCCUAUCAGCUUGUUGGUGAGGUAGUGGCUCACCAAGGCGACGACGGGUAGCCGGCCUGAGAGGGCGACCGGCCACACUGGGACUGAGACACGGCCCAGACUCCUACGGGAGGCAGCAGUGGGGAAUAUUGCACAAUGGGCGAAAGCCUGAUGCAGCGACGCUGCGUGAGGGAUGACGGCCUUCGGGUUGUAAACCUCUUUCAGCAGGGAAGAAGCGAAAGUGACGGUACCUGCAGAAGAAGCGCCGGCUAACUACGUGCCAGCAGCCGCGGUAAUACGUAGGGCGCAAGCGUUGUCCGGAAUUAUUGGGCGUAAAGAGCUCGUAGGCGGCUUGUCACGUCGGUUGUGAAAGCCCGGGGCUUAACCCCGGGUCUGCAGUCGAUACGGGCAGGCUAGAGUUCGGUAGGGGAGAUCGGAAUUCCUGGUGUAGCGGUGAAAUGCGCAGAUAUCAGGAGGAACACCGGUGGCGAAGGCGGAUCUCUGGGCCGAUACUGACGCUGAGGAGCGAAAGCGUGGGGAGCGAACAGGAUUAGAUACCCUUGGUAGUCCACGCCGUAAACGGUGGGCACUAGUGUGGGCAACAUUCCACGUUGUCCGUGCCGCAGGCUAACGCAUUUAAGUGCCCCCGCUGGGGAGUACGG